rnacentral:lncRNA from 1 species
GCACAACACAACAACAUUCCACCCCUCUUUUCAUGUCGAGUGUGAAGGGCAUAGUAAAUAUCAGCUAAGAGAAAUGGUACUGGAUUGCCAGAGAGAAAGACUUCUAUGGCCACUUGAUCCACAAAUUUUUCAACAUUUGGGAAUAACACAAUCCCAUGGAUCAAUAAAGCCACCACAGCAUAGAAUGCAUUCCAAUUUCCACUUUUCUUGAACUUUAGAGCUAAAUCCUCCAAAAACAUCGCGGCAAAACCUUUGCAACCCCCUUUUUCAGCCCAAUUGUCUCGAACAGUCGGGACAUUGAUGCUUAGGGCCGAAGCUAUCUUCUUUGGGCCCAUAUCUUCUUCGAGCUUUGGAAACGGAUUAAAAUCUUUCAACUUGAGUCCCACGAUCCUCUCAACUUCUUCCAAAGUAGGAGCUAGCUGGAAAUCAGCGAAUGUGAAACAACGCAGAGGUGGAUCAUAAUAUUGUGCCAGAGAGCCGAUAAUUC